rnacentral:tRNA from 1 species
GCCCCCUUAGCUCAGUCGGUAGAGUGUCUCCAUGGUAAGGAGAAGGUCAACAGUUCGAUUCUGUUAGGGGGCU